UGGUGCUUGCAUCAUGAUUUACAUUUGAGUGAGUGGCGAACUGGUGAGUAACACGUGGGAAACCUGCCCAGAAGCGGGGGAUAACACCUGGAAACAGAUGCUAAUACCGCAUAACAACUUGGACCGCAUGGUCCGAGCUUGAAAGAUGGCUUCGGCUAUCACUUUUGGAUGGUCCCGCGGCGUAUUAGCUAGAUGGUGGGGUAACGGCUCACCAUGGCAAUGAUACGUAGCCGACCUGAGAGGGUAAUCGGCCACAUUGGGACUGAGACACGGCCCAAACUCCUACGGGAGGCAGCAGUAGGGAAUCUUCCACAAUGGACGAAAGUCUGAUGGAGCAACGCCGCGUGAGUGAAGAAGGGUUUCGGCUCGUAAAACUCUGUUGUUAAAGAAGAACAUAUCUGAGAGUAACUGUUCAGGUAUUGACGGUAUUUAACCAGAAAGCCACGGCUAACUACGUGCCAGCAGCCGCGGUAAUACGUAGGUGGCAAGCGUUGUCCGGAUUUAUUGGGCGUAAAGCGAGCGCAGGCGGUUUUUUAAGUCUGAUGUGAAAGCCUUCGGCUCAACCGAAGAAGUGCAUCGGAAACUGGGAAACUUGAGUGCAGAAGAGGACAGUGGAACUCCAUGUGUAGCGGUGAAAUGCGUAGAUAUAUGGAAGAACACCAGUGGCGAAGGCGGCUGUCUGGUCUGUAACUGACGCUGAGGCUCGAAAGUAUGGGUAGCAAACAGGAUUAGAUACCCUGGUAGUCCAUACCGUAAACGAUGAAUGCUAAGUGUUGGAGGGUUUCCGCCCUUCAGUGCUGCAGCUAACGCAUUAAGCAUUCCGCCUGGGGAGUACGGCCGCAAGGCUGAAACUCAAAGGAAUUGACGGGGGCCCGCACAAGCGGUGGAGCAUGUGGUUUAAUUCGAAGCUACGCGAAGAACCUUACCAGGUCUUGACAUACUAUGCAAAUCUAAGAGAUUAGACGUUCCCUUCGGGGACAUGGAUACAGGUGGUGCAUGGUUGUCGUCAGCUCGUGUCGUGAGAUGUUGGGUUAAGUCCCGCAACGAGCGCAACCCUUAUUAUCAGUUGCCAGCAUUAAGUUGGGCACUCUGGUGAGACUGCCGGUGACAAACCGGAGGAAGGUGGGGAUGACGUCAAAUCAUCAUGCCCCUUAUGACCUGGGCUACACACGUGCUACAAUGGAUGGUACAACGAGUUGCGAACUCGCGAGAGUAAGCUAAUCUCUUAAAGCCAUUCUCAGUUCGGAUUGUAGGCUGCAACUCGCCUACAUGAAGUCGGAAUCGCUAGUAAUCGCGGAUCAGCAUGCCGCGGUGAAUACGUUCCCGGGCCUUGUACACACCGCCCGUCACACCAUGAGAGUUUGUAACACCCAAAGUCGGUG
rnacentral:rRNA from 1 species